UACGAAGGGGGCGAGCGUUAAUCGGAAUUACUGGGCGUAAAGCGUGCGCAGGCGGUUUUGUAAGUCUGUCGUGAAAUCCCCCGGGCUCAACCUGGGAAUUGCGAUGGAGACUGCAAGGCUGGAGUCUGGCAGAGGGGGGUAGAAUUCCACGUGUAGCAGUGAAAUGCGUAGAGAUGUGGAGGAACACCGAUGGCGAAGGCAGCCCCCUGGGUCAAGACUGACGCUCAUGCACGAAAGCGUGGGGAGCAAACAGG
rnacentral:rRNA from 1 species